ACGGGUGAGUAACACGUGGGCAACCUGCCCUUGAGACUGGGAUAACUUCGGGAAACCGGAGCUAAUACCGGAUAAUAUAAGGAACCUCCUGGUUCCUUAUUGAAAGAUGGUUUCGGCUAUCACUUAAGGAUGGGCCCGCGGCGCAUUAGCUAGUUGGUGAGGUAACGGCUCACCAAGGCGACGAUGCGUAGCCGACCUGAGAGGGUGAUCGGCCACACUGGGACUGAGACACGGCCCAGACUCCUACGGGAGGCAGCAGUAGGGAAUCUUCCACAAUGGACGAAAGUCUGAUGGAGCAACGCCGCGUGAGUGAUGAAGGCCUUCGGGUCGUAAAGCUCUGUUGUUAGGGAAGAACAAGUGCGAGAGUAACUGCUCGCACCUUGACGGUACCUAACCAGAAAGCCACGGCUAACUACGUGCCAGCAGCCGCGGUAAUACGUAGGUGGCAAGCGUUAUCCGGAAUUAUUGGGCGUAAAGCGCGCGCAGGUGGUUUCUUAAGUCUGAUGUGAAAGCCCACGGCUCAACCGUGGAGGGUCAUUGGAAACUGGGGAACUUGAGUGCAGAA
rnacentral:rRNA from 1 species